UACGAAGGGGGCUAGCGUUGUUCGGAAUUACUGGGCGUAAAGCGCACGUAGGCGGAUUGUUAAGUUAGGGGUGAAAUCCCAGGGCUCAACCCUGGAACUGCCUUUAAUACUGGCAAUCUCGAGUCCGAGAGAGGUGAGUGGAACUGCGAGUGUAGAGGUGAAAUUCGUAGAUAUUCGCAAGAACACCAGUGGCGAAGGCGGCUCACUGGCCCGGUACUGACGCUGAGGUGCGAAAGCGUGGGGAGCAAACAGG
rnacentral:rRNA from 1 species